rnacentral:misc_RNA from 1 species
GUCCGUAAAGGUGGAUGAGUGGUGUUUGGUUUGUUACGUGUGGUUGGCUGCGGCGUUUGCAACAACUUCCAUGCUUUCAGACCUCUUCAGUUGUGCGGCAAGGCUUGUAUCGCCUUGAGCGUAUUGUGGGUUUUCUGUGUUGGCUACCUAAUCAACGGUAUCGGUUGGAUUGAUCAAAGUUUGAUUUCGUCUUCCGUCGCGUUCGCGGCGUGAGGUGAACCUCGAUGCGGUCUCUUUGAUCCACCUCGUCGAAGCACAUGCUUCGACGUUGUGGCGCAUUGAGCAUUGCUUGGUCUCUUGUAUACGGAACAUAUAGUGGGCAUGGAUCUAACGAUUCUUGUUUGCCCUCAUAUUAGCGUAACGCUUCUCUAACACGACUUGCGCCACGUUUUAGCUCGUACGGACGUGGU